rnacentral:rRNA from 1 species
UCCGUAGGUGGCGAUCGUUGUCCGGAAUUACUGGGUGUAAAGGGCGUGUAGGCGGGAAUGUAAGUCAGAUGUGAAAUACCAUGGCUCAACUGUGGGGGUGCAUCUGAAACUAUGUUUCUUGAGUGCUGGAGAGGAAAGCGGAAUUCCUAGUGUAGCGGUGAAAUGCGUAGAUAUUAGGAGGAACACCAGUGGCGAAGGCGGCUUUCUGGACAGUAACUGACGCUGAGGCGCGAAAGCGUGGGGAGCAAACAGG